rnacentral:rRNA from 1 species
ACGGAACGAAAAGGUCUCUCCUAAUACGAGAGGCUCAUGACGGUACCGUAAGAAUAAGCACCGGCUAACUACGUGCCAGCAGCCGCGGUAAUACGUAGGGUGCAAGCGUUAAUCGGAAUUACUGGGCGUAAAGCGUGCGCAGGCGGUUAUAUAAGACAGAUGUGAAAUCCCCGGGCUCAACCUGGGAACUGCAUUUGUGACUGUAUAGCUAGAGUACGGUAGAGGGGGAUGGAAUUCCGCGUGUAGCAGUGAAAUGCGUAGAUAUGCGGAGGAACACCGAUGGCGAAGGCAAUCCCCUGGACCUGUACUGACGCUCAUGCACGAAAGCGUGGGGAGCAAACAGGAUUAGAUACCCUGGUAGUCCACGCCCUAAACGAUGUCAACUGGUUGUUGGGACUUCACUGACUCA